AGUCAGCUGGCCAAUCGGCGUCUUUGGCUUACGUGUGUAGUCAUUGGCUUCGUUGUGUGUCGUCAUCGGUCAUGACCUGGGAGGAGCUUAGAGAGGCGGAGAAACGAAGCCGGAAAACAGAUAAAAACCAACGUUUGAACCACUGUCUCUGUUUGUCGGCACUAGGAGAAAACUGAAUCAUCGAAGAAGCCUGGACGCUAAAACAAGCGUUGGAGCUGCUUUGUUAUGGAACAGGAGUGAGGCUGGACGCUGACUACACCCGAAGCGCGAAGGUGUCACCACUUCGUCCACCACAUCGUCCAUGAUCACUGGGACGACGUCCAUGAUCGGAGAGACAUUGUUGAGGAUGAGGGAGACAUCGUCCACGAUCAGAGACGUUGUCUGUGAUCGCAGAGACCUUGUCAAAGAUGAGAGAGACGUUGUCCAUGAUCAGAGACAUUGUCGCUGCUUCGCAGAGCUCUGCGCAAGAAUCGGUAGUGACACUGUGGUUCCUCGAUUCGACGGCAUGACCGUGAUCAGCUGACAUUUGUUAAUGAUCACAGAGAAACAGUCUAUCAUCAGAGACUUGGUCCACGAUCACAGACACAUUGUCAAUGAUUGCAGAGACUUUGUUUAUAAUCUCAGAGACAUUGUCCGCGAUCACAGAGACGUAGUCCACGAUCACAGAGAGUCUUUGUACAAUGAAGAAGUUCUUUGAGACCAGGACAGAGGCCUCCAGGUGUCACCACUUCGUCCACCACAUCGUCCAUGAUCACUGGGACGACGUCCAUGAUCGGAGAGACAUUGUUGAGGAUGAGGGAGACAUCGUCCUCGAUCGGAGACAUUGUCUGUGACUCGUGGUGACUCGGUCCCCGAUUAGUCGGCACUGCCGGCGUUCAGAGACAUUGUCCGCGAUCACAGAGACGUAGUCCACGAUCACAGAGAUGUCCACGAUCACAGAGACAUGGUCCAUGAUUGGAGAGACAUUGUUGAGGAUGAGGGAGACAUCGUCCUCGAUCUGAGACAUUGUCUGUGACUCGUGGUGACUCGGUCCCCGAUUAGUCGGCACUGCCGGCGUUCAGAGACAUUGUCGAUGAUCGCAGAGACUUUGUCCAUAAUCUCAGAGACAUUGUCCGCGAUCACAGAGACGCUGUCCACGAUCACAGAGAUGUCCGCGAUCACAGAGACAUGGUCCAUGAUCGGAGAGGCAUUGUUGAGGAUGAGGGAGACAUCGUCCACGAUCAGAGACGUUGUCUGUGAUCGCAGAGACCUUGUCAAAGAUGAGAGAGACGUUGUCCAUGAUCAGAGACAUUGUCGCUGCUUCGCAGAGCUCUGCGCAAGAAUCGGUAGUGACACUGUGGUUCCUCGAUUCGACGGCAUGACCGCGAUCAGCUGACAUUUGUUAAUGGUCACAGAGAAACAGUCUAUCAUCAGAGACUUGGUCCACGAUCACAGACACAUUGUCAAUGAUUGCAGAGACUUUGUUUAUAAUCUCAGAGACAUUGUCCGCGAUCACAGAGACGUAGUCCACGAUCACAGAGAGUCUUUGUACAAUGAAGAAGUUCUUUGAGACCAGGACAGAGGCCUCCAGGUGUCACCACUUCGUCCACCACAUCGUCCAUGAUCACUGGGACGACGUCCAUGAUCGGAGAGACAUUGUUGAGGAUGAGGGAGACAUCGUCCUCGAUCGGAGACAUUGUCUGUGACUCGUGGUGACUCGGUCCCCGAUUAGUCGGCACUGCUGGCGUUCAGAGACAUUGUCGAUGAUCGCAGAGACUUUGUCCAUAAUCUCAGAGACAUUGUCCGCGAUCACAGAGACGUAGUCCACGAUCACAGAGAUGUCCACGAUCACAGAGACAUGGUCCAUGAUUGGAGAGACAUUGUUGAGGAUGAGGGAGACAUCGUCCUCGAUCUGAGACAUUGUCUGUGACUCGUGGUGACUCGGUCCCCGAUUAGUCGGCACUGCCGGCGUUCAGAGACAUUGUCGAUGAUCGCAGAGACUUUGUCCAUAAUCUCAGAGACAUUGUCCGCGAUCACAGAGACGUAGUCCACGAUCACAGAGAAAUCAUCCACGAUCGCAGAGAGACAACAUCCAAACCUUGGUGUCACCACUUCGUCCACCACAUUGUCCAUGACCACUGAGACGACGUCCAUGAUCGGAGAGACAUUGUUGAGGAUGAGGGAGACAUCGUCCUCGAUCGGAGACAUUGUCUGUGACUCGUGGUGACUCGGUCCCCGAUUAGUCGGCACUGCCGGCGUUCAGAGCCAUUGUCGAUGAUCGCAGAGACUUUGUCCAUAAUCUCGGAGACAUUGUCCGCGAUCACAGAGACGCUGUCCACGAUCACAGAGAUGUCCGCGAUCACAGAGACAUGGUCCAUGAUCGGAGAGGCAUUGUUGAGGAUGAGGGAGACAUCGUCCACGAUCAGAGACGUUGUCUGUGAUCGCAGAGACCUUGUCAAAGAUGAGAGAGACGUUGUCCAUGAUCAGAGACAUUGUCGCUGCUUCGCAGAGCUCUGCGCAAGAAUCGGUAGUGACACUGUGGUUCCUCGAUUCGACGGCAUGACCGCGAUCAGCUGACAUUUGUUAAUGGUCACAGAGAAACAGUCUAUCAUCAGAGACUUGGUCCACGAUCACAGACACAUUGUCAAUGAUUGCAGAGACUUUGUUUAUAAUCUCAGAGACAUUGUCCGCGAUCACAGAGACGUAGUCCACGAUCACAGAGAGUCUUUGUACAAUGAAGAAGUUCUUUGAGACCAGGACAGAGGCCUCCAGGUGUAACCACUUCGUCCACCACAUUGUCCAUGACCACUGAGACGACGUCCAUGAUCGGAGAGACAUUGUUGAGGAUGAGGGAGACAUCGUCCUCGAUCUGAGACAUUGUCUGUGACUCGUGGUGACUCGGUCCCCGAUUAGUCGGCACUGCCGGCGUUCAGAGACAUUGUCGAUGAUCGCAGAGACUUUGUCCAUAAUCUCAGAGACAUUGUCCGCGAUCACAGAGACGCUGUCCACGAUCACAGAGAUGUCCGCGAUCACAGAGACAUGGUCCAUGAUCGGAGAGGCAUUCUUGAGGAUGAGGGAGACAUCGUCCACGAUCAGAGACGUUGUCUGUGAUCGCAGAGACCUUGUCAAAGAUGAGAGAGACGUUGUCCAUGAUCAGAGACAUUGUCGCUGCUUCGCAGAGCUCUGCGCAAGAAUCGGUAGUGACACUGUGGUUCCUCGAUUCGACGGCAUGACCGCGAUCAGCUGACAUUUGUUAAUGGUCACAGAGAAACAGUCUAUCAUCAGAGACUUGGUCCACGAUCACAGACACAUUGUCAAUGAUUGCAGAGACUUUGUUUAUAAUCUCAGAGACAUUGUCCGCGAUCACAGAGACGUAGUCCACGAUCACAGAGAGUCUUUGUACAAUGAAGAAGUUCUUUGAGACCAGGACAGAGGCCUCCAGGUGUCACCACUUCGUCCACCACAUUGUCCAUGACCACUGAGACGACGUCCAUGAUCGGAGAGACAUUGUUGAGGAUGAGGGAGACAUCGUCCUCGAUCGGAGACAUUGUCUGUGACUCGUGGUGACUCGGUCCCCGAUUAGUCGGCACUGCCGGCGUUCAGAGACAUUGUCGAUGAUCGCAGAGACUUUGUCCAUAAUCUCAGAGACAUUGUCCGCGAUCACAGAGACGCUGUCCACGAUCACAGAGAUGUCCGCGAUCACAGAGACAUGGUCCAUGAUCGGAGAGGCAUUGUUGAGGAUGAGGGAGACAUCGUCCACGAUCAGAGACGUUGUCUGUGAUCGCAGAGACCUUGUCAAAGAUGAGAGAGACGUUGUCCAUGAUCAGAGACAUUGUCGCUGCUUCGCAGAGCUCUGCGCAAGAAUCGGUAGUGACACUGUGGUUCCUCGAUUCGACGGCAUGACCGCGAUCAGCUGACAUUUGUUAAUGGUCACAGAGAAACAGUCUAUCAUCAGAGACUUGGUCCACGAUCACAGACACAUUGUCAAUGAUUGCAGAGACUUUGUUUAUAAUCUCAGAGACAUUGUCCGCGAUCACAGAGACGUAGUCCACGAUCACAGAGAGUCUUUGUACAAUGAAGAAGUUCUUUGAGACCAGGACAGAGGCCUCCAGGUGUAACCACUUCGUCCACCACAUUGUCCAUGACCACUGAGACGACGUCCAUGAUCGGAGAGACAUUGUUGAGGAUGAGGGAGACAUCGUCCUCGAUCGGAGACAUUGUCUGUGACUCGUGGU